CCCUUAGAUGUUCUGGGCCGCACGCGCGCUACACUGAUGCAUUCAACGAGCCUAUCCUUGACCGACAGGUCCGGGUAAUCUUUGAAUCUGCAUCGUGACGGGGAUAGAUUAUUGCAAUUAUUAAUCUUCAACGAGGAAUGCCUAGUAGGCGCAAGUCAUCAGCUUGCGUCGAUUACGUCCCUGCCCUUCGUACACACCGCCCGUCGCUCCUACCGAUUGGGUGUGCUGGUGAAAUGUUCGGAUCGGCCGUUUGUCGCGGUUUCCGCGGCUCGUGGCUGAGAAGUUCAUUAAACCCUCCCACCUAGAGGAAGGAGAAGUCGUAACA
rnacentral:rRNA from 1 species